UACAGGGGGUGCGAGCGUUGCUCGGAAUUACUGGGCGUAAGGCGUACGCAGGCUGUCGUGCAAGUCGGGUGUGAAAUCCCGGGGCUCAACCCCGGAACUGCGCCCGAGACUGCAUGACUUGAAUGCGGGAGAGGAAAGCGGAAUUCCUGGUGUAGAGGUGAAAUUCGUAGAUAUCAGGAGGAACACCUGUGGCGAAAGCGGCUUUCUGGCCCGACAUUGACGCUCAUGUACGAAAGCGCGGGGAGCAAACAGG
rnacentral:rRNA from 1 species